CACCGUAAUCCUAUAACAAACGACUUGAUGGAAUGCGCCAUCUGUGUGAAGACAGACAAUUGUUAAGACAGAAGAUAUUUGCAUACCAUCAUACUAGUGGUAAAGUGAACUUUAAGGG